UACGUAGGGACCGAGCGUUGUCCGGAAUCAUUGGGCGUAAAGAGCGUGUAGGCGGCUAUUUAAGUCCUGCGUGAAAUCCUGCGGCUCAACCGCAGACGGUCGUGGGAAACUGGAUGGCUAGAGUGCGGGAGAGGAGAGUGGAAUUCCCGGUGUAGCGGUGAAAUGCGCAGAUAUCGGGAAGAACACCCGUGGCGAAGGCGGUUCUCUGGGCAUGUCCUGACGCUGAGGAGCGAAAGUGUGGGGAGCGAACAGG
rnacentral:rRNA from 1 species